GGUCAAGUGAAGAAGCGCAUACGGUGGAUGCCUUGGCAGUCAGAGGCGAUGAAAGACGUGGUAGCCUGCGAUAAGCUUCGGGGAGUCGGCAAACAGACUUUGAUCCGGAGAUCUCUGAAUGGGGGAACCCACCUAGGAUAACCUAGGUAUCUUGUACUGAAUCCAUAGGUGCAAGAGGCGAACCAGGGGAACUGAAACAUCUAAGUACCCUGAGGAAAAGAAAUCAACCGAGAUUCCCUUAGUAGUGGCGAGCGAACGGGGAUUAGCCCUUAAGCUUCAUUGAUUUUAGCGGAACGCUCUGGAAAGUGCGGCCAUAGUGGGUGAUAGCCCUGUACGCGAAAGGAUCUUUGAAGUGAAAUCGAGUAGGACGGAGCACGAGAAACUUUGUCUGAACAUGGGGGGACCAUCCUCCAAGGCUAAAUACUACUGACUGACCGAUAGUGAACCAGUACCGUGAGGGAAAGGCGAAAAGAACCCCGGAGAGGGGAGUGAAAUAGAACCUGAAACCGUAUGCGUACAAGCAGUGGGAGCCUACUUGUUAGGUGACUGCGUACCUUUUGUAUAAUGGGUCAGCGACUUAUAUUCAGUGGCGAGCUUAACCGAAUAGGGUAGGCGUAGCGAAAGCGAGUCUUAAUAGGGCGUUUAGUCGCUGGGUAUAGACCCGAAACCGGGCGAUCUAUCCAUGAGCAGGUUGAAGGUUAGGUAACACUGACUGGAGGACCGAACCCACUCCCGUUGAAAAGGUAGGGGAUGACUUGUGGAUCGGAGUGAAAGGCUAAUCAAGCUCGGAGAUAGCUGGUUCUCCUCGAAAGCUAUUUAGGUAGCGCCUCAUGUAUCACUCUGGGGGGUAGAGCACUGUUUCGGCUAGGGGGUCAUCCCGACUUACCAAACCGAUGCAAACUCCGAAUACCCAGAAGUGCCGAGCAUGGGAGACACACGGCGGGUGCUAACGUCCGUCGUGAAAAGGGAAACAACCCAGACCGCCAGCUAAGGUCCCAAAGUUGUGGUUAAGUGGUAAACGAUGUGGGAAGGCUUAGACAGCUAGGAGGUUGGCUUAGAAGCAGCCAUCCUUUAAAGAAAGCGUAAUAGCUCACUAGUCGAGUCGGCCUGCGCGGAAGAUGUAACGGGGCUCAAACCACACACCGAAGCUGCGGGUGUCACGUAAGUGACGCGGUAGAGGAGCGUUCUGUAAGCCUGUGAAGGUGAGUUGAGAAGCUUGCUGGAGGUAUCAGAAGUGCGAAUGCUGACAUGAGUAACGACAAUGGGUGUGAAAAACACCCACGCCGAAAGACCAAGGGUUCCUGCGCAACGUUAAUCGACGCAGGGUUAGUCGGUUCCUAAGGCGAGGCUGAAAAGCGUAGUCGAUGGGAAACAGGUUAAUAUUCCUGUACUUCUGGUUACUGCGAUGGAGGGACGGAGAAGGCUAGGCCAGCUUGGCGUUGGUUGUCCAAGUUUAAGGUGGUAGGCUGAAAUCUUAGGUAAAUCCGGGGUUUCAAGGCCGAGAGCUGAUGACGAGUCGUCUUUUAGAUGACGAAGUGGUUGAUGCCAUGCUUCCAAGAAAAGCUUCUAAGCUUCAGGUAACCAGGAACCGUACCCCAAACCGACACAGGUGGUCGGGUAGAGAAUACCAAGGCGCUUGAGAGAACUCGGGUGAAGGAACUAGGCAAAAUGGCACCGUAACUUCGGGAGAAGGUGCGCCGGCUAGGGUGAAGGAUUUACUCCGUAAGCUCUGGCUGGUCGAAGAUACCAGGCCGCUGCGACUGUUUAUUAAAAACACAGCACUCUGCAAACACGAAAGUGGACGUAUAGGGUGUGACGCCUGCCCGGUGCCGGAAGGUUAAUUGAUGGGGUUAGCGCAAGCGAAGCUCUUGAUCGAAGCCCCGGUAAACGGCGGCCGUAACUAUAACGGUCCUAAGGUAGCGAAAUUCCUUGUCGGGUAAGUUCCGACCUGCACGAAUGGCGUAACGAUGGCGGCGCUGUCUCCACCCGAGACUCAGUGAAAUUGAAAUCGCUGUGAAGAUGCAGUGUAUCCGCGGCUAGACGGAAAGACCCCGUGAACCUUUACUGUAGCUUUGCACUGGACUUUGAGCCUGCUUGUGUAGGAUAGGUGGGAGGCUUUGAAGCGUGGACGCCAGUUCGCGUGGAGCCAUCCUUGAAAUACCACCCUGGCAUGCUUGAGGUUCUAACUCUGGUCCGUGAUCCGGAUCGAGGACAGUGUAUGGUGGGCAGUUUGACUGGGGCGGUCUCCUCCUAAAGAGUAACGGAGGAGUACGAAGGUGCGCUCAGACCGGUCGGAAAUCGGUCGCAGAGUAUAAAGGCAAAAGCGCGCUUGACUGCGAGACAGACACGUCGAGCAGGUACGAAAGUAGGUCUUAGUGAUCCGGUGGUUCUGUAUGGAAGGGCCAUCGCUCAACGGAUAAAAGGUACUCCGGGGAUAACAGGCUGAUACCGCCCAAGAGUUCAUAUCGACGGCGGUGUUUGGCACCUCGAUGUCGGCUCAUCACAUCCUGGGGCUGAAGCCGGUCCCAAGGGUAUGGCUGUUCGCCAUUUAAAGUGGUACGCGAGCUGGGUUUAGAACGUCGUGAGACAGUUCGGUCCCUAUCUGCCGUGGACGUUUGAGAUUUGAGAGGGGCUGCUCCUAGUACGAGAGGACCGGAGUGGACGAACCUCUGGUGUUCCGGUUGUCACGCCAGUGGCAUUGCCGGGUAGCUAUGUUCGGAAAAGAUAACCGCUGAAAGCAUCUAAGCGGGAAACUUGCCUCAAGAUGAGAUCUCACUGGGAACUUGAUUCCCCUGAAGGGCCGUCGAAGACUACGACGUUGAUAGGCUGGGUGUGUAAGCGUUGUGAGGCGUUGAGCUAACCAGUACUAAUUGCCCGUGAGGCUUGACCAU
rnacentral:rRNA from 2 species